rnacentral:rRNA from 1 species
AUGAGUCCGCGUCGUCGGCGACGUGCGGGACCUCACAGGCGCUUGUCGUCCCGGAGCUGGAUCACUGCUAACUCUGAACCCGUCUACGUUGCAUUCCAUGAUGAAGAGUGGGGAGUGCCGGUUCACGAUGACCGUAAGCUGUUUGAGCUGCUUACCUUAUCACAAGCCUUGGCCGAGCUCUCCUGGCCUGUAAUUUUGAGCAAACGGGAGGAGGUCAGGAAGAUGAUUGAUGCUUUCUACAAUGCGUCCGUGCCUGACUGCACGAACAAGAAGAUAAACCAGUUGUUCAAGUCAAAUGGAAGCACGUUGUUGUCAGAGCAAAAGAUGCGAGCUAUGGUCGCAAACGCCAAGCAAAUUCAAAAGCAUAUUCGUGUGGCCUCGACCAAAAUGUCGGUGUUGUGCUCUUGUAGAACAGCAUUAAGAGGAUGUGAUAUCAGCUAG